UACGUAGGGUGCAAGCGUUGUCCGGAAUUAUUGGGCGUAAAGAGCUCGUAGGCGGUCUGUCGCGUCGGCUGUGAAAACCUGAGGCUCAACCUCGGGCCUGCAGUCGAUACGGGCAGACUAGAGUUCGGUAGGGGAGACUGGAAUUCCUGGUGUAGCGGUGAAAUGCGCAGAUAUCAGGAGGAACACCAGUGGCGAAGGCGGCUCACUGGACCGGAACUGACGCUGAGGCGCGAAAGCGUGGGGAGCAAACAGG
rnacentral:rRNA from 1 species